rnacentral:tRNA from 1 species
UAUAAGGUGCCUGAGAUUAAAGGGCUACCUUGAUGGGGUAGAUUACGGUGAAAGAACCCUUUAUAA